rnacentral:rRNA from 2 species
AGGAUUACGCUGGCGGCGUGCAUAACACAUGCAAGUCGAACGAUGAAGAUUAUUAGACUUCUUCGGAAUGAAAAUAAUUGGAUUAGUGGCCGACGGGUGAGUAACGCGUGAGUAACCUGCCUUACACAAGGGGAUAGCCGUUGGAAACGACGAAUAAUACCCUAUGAAGUUACUAUCUCGCAUGAGAUAAUAACCAAAGUGUUAGCGGUGUAAGAUGGACUUGCGUCUGAUUAGCUAGUUGGUGAGAAAAAAGCCCACCAAGGCAACGAUCAGUAGCCGGCUUGAGAGAGUGUACGGCCACAUUGGGACUGAGUCACGGCCCAGACUCCUACGGGAGGCAGCAGUGGGGAAUUUUGCACAAUGGGGGGAACCCUGAUGCAGCGACGCCGCGUGAUUUAGAAGGCCUUCGGGUUGUAAAAAUCUUUUGUAUAGGAAGAAAAUGACAGUACUAUACGAAUAAGGUCCGGCUAAUUACGUGCCCGCAGCCGCGGUAAUACGUAAGGACCGAGCGUUGUCCGGAAUCAUUGGGCGUAAAGGGUACGUAGGCGGGUCAUUAAGUUAGAAGUCAAAGGCUAUAGCUCAACUAUAGUAAGCUUCUAAAACUGGAGACCUUGAGUAAUGGAAGGGAAAGUGGAAUUCCUAGUGUAGCGGUGGAAUGCGCAGAUAUUAGGAGGAAUACCGGUGGCGAUGGCGACUUUCUGGCCAUU